rnacentral:lncRNA from 1 species
CGGACGCUAGGGUAAAUACAAACUUAUCUUGUGAUUGGUGUCUUUUGUCGUUCUUGACUCUGGAAAUACCUUCAAAGUCCAUAUUAAUAGUACUGCAUGCUAGGAUAUGUUGGUUACUUUGUUUCUACCAUCAGGGGUGAUUUAGUGAACCCCUUCUUUGAGUCUCCGAUACUCCUGGAGAAGUACGUCCGCACCCCGUACCUAGAUAAACAAUUCAUCCAUUGACCAAUCAUCAUGCUUACAUGAGUGGGGCCGUUGUUCCUGUUCCUACCUCAUAGUAACUAAUUUUUUUUUCCUUGAUGGUUAAUGGAUUAUGGUUCCUUGGUUUUGGAGUUGAGAUGCAUUCCGAGCGCCUCAAGUCACCGACAAAUGAGAUAUUCUAAUUCUAUUCAUCAUACCGAGUAUCUUACUAUCUACCACGUCCAAUGUCGCAAGAUCGUCCGAAGGACAUUGAUGUGCGUACACGAUUCCAUUUAGAGAGACCCACCAUGUAACUAGCUAUCACGCCCGCCGUCCCUGGUCAUUAAGGAUCAAAUACCGAGCAUCCGCAGUCAAACAGAAUUUCACUUUUUGACACGUUCACGACAACCCCAUAACAAGACCAUUUAAGUUAGGCCGACUUAAACGGCAACAUGCAAAUAAGCUAAGUUAAUUAUCGAAUUUCUAAUAUACGUACUACUACAGAGUACAGUAGUAUUUCCCUCCCGUCCAAGAAUGGUAAUCUUCCUAGCUUAUGUUUCCGUAAACUAGUCCAGGUACGUACUAACGGUAACGUCUAACGCUGCUCGAAAUAGAAGCGGAAUAUUUCUAUAGUACAUACCACCAUUCAGUGGCCAAAGUGUCUAUAUUAGACUUUUUGAUAGUUCACUAGUGUUGA